GUAAGGAAUAUUGGUCAAUGGACGAAAGUCUGAACCAGCCAUGCCGCGUGAAAGAUGAAGGCCCUCUGGGUUGUAAACUUCUUUUAUCUGGGACGAAAAAAGGGUAUUCUUACUCACUUGACGGUACCAGAGGAAUAAGCACCGGCUAACUCCGUGCCAGCAGCCGCGGUAAUACGGAGGGUGCAAGCGUUAUCCGGAUUCACUGGGUUUAAAGGGUGCGUAGGUGGGUAUUUAAGUCAGUGGUGAAAUCUCCGAGCUUAACUCGGAAACUGCGAUUGAUACUAUUUACCUUGAAUGCCCUGGAGGUAAGCGGAAUAUGUCAUGUAGCGGUGAAAUGCUUAGAUAUGACAUAGAACACCAAUUGCGAAGGCAGCUUACUACGGGGUGAUUGACACUGAGGCACGAAAGCGUGGGGAGCAAACAGGAUUAGAUACCCCGGUAGUCC
rnacentral:rRNA from 1 species